GACGAACGCUGGCGGCGUGCCUAAUACAUGCAAGUCGAGCGCAGGAAACUGACGGAACUCUUCGGAGGGAAGGCAGUGGAAUGAGCGGCGGACGGGUGAGUAACACGUAAGGAACCUGCCUCAAGGAUUGGGAUAACUCCGAGAAAUCGGAGCUAAUACCGGAUAGUUCAACGGACCGCAUGGUCCGCUGAUGAAAGGCGCUCCGGCGUCACCUUGAGAUGGCCUUGCGGUGCAUUAGCUAGUUGGUGGGGUAACGGCCCACCAAGGCGACGAUGCAUAGCCGACCUGAGAGGGUGAUCGGCCACACUGGGACUGAGACACGGCCCAGACUCCUACGGGAGGCAGCAGUAGGGAAUCUUCCACAAUGGACGAAAGUCUGAUGGAGCAACGCCGCGUGAGUGAUGAAGGUUUUCGGAUCGUAAAACUCUGUUGUAAGGGAAGAACACGUACGAGAGGGAAUGCUCGUACCUUGACGGUACCUUACGAGAAAGCCACGGCUAACUACGUGCCAGCCGCCGCAGUAA
rnacentral:rRNA from 1 species